rnacentral:rRNA from 1 species
AAUGAACGUUGGCGGCGUGGAUUAGGCAUGCAAGUCGAACGGGCCCGCAAGGGUCAGUGGCGGAAGGGUGAGUAAGGCGACGGCAACCAACCCCGAGGAUGGGUACAGCCGCGGGAAACUGCGGGUAAUCCCCAGCGAUGCGAGGGCGUCGGCAUCGACGCUUCGCCAAAUGGAGUCGUCCGCCUCGGGACGGGCCGUCGUGGUAUUAGGUUGUUGGCGGGGUAACGGCCCACCACGCCUGCGAUGCCUACCGGGCGUGCGAGCGUGGCCCGGCACACUGGGACUGAGACACUGCCCAGACCCCUACGGGAGGCUGCAGUCGAGAAUCUUCGGCAAUGGGCGCAAGCCUGACCGAGCGACGCCGCGUGGAGGACGAAGGCCUUCGGGUUGUAAACUCCUGUCGAGGGGGAGAAAGGCUCCGCGGGGGGCUUGAUCGAUCCCUGGAGGAAGCACGGGCUAAGUUCGUGCCAGCAGCCGCCGUAAUAC